CUUCUGAAAACGGUUGUUGG
rnacentral:misc_RNA from 1 species